UACGGAGGGUGCAAACGUUGCUCGGAAUCAUUGGGCGUAAAGCGCACGUAGGCGUUCCGGCAAGUCGGGUGUGAAAGCCCUCGGCUUAACCGAGGAAGUGCAUUCGAAACUACCGGACUUGAAUACUGGAGAGGGUCGCGGAAUUCCCGGUGUAGAGGUGAAAUUCGUAGAUAUCGGGAGGAACACCAGUGGCGAAGGCGGCGAUCUGGGAAGAUACUGACGCUAAGGUGCGAAAGCGUGGGGAGCAAACAGG
rnacentral:rRNA from 1 species